rnacentral:tRNA from 1 species
AGAGGGGGUUACAAGAUCUGCUA